UCUCUCUCUCUCUCUCCCAUUUAAUUUUCUGUCUUCUUUUUCACUUCCGACGAAGUGCUUGCAGAACUGGACCCUCUGUCGAGCUUAUGGACAGAUGAAAUCUGGGGUUCUCUACCCAACCUGAAAUCUUGAUUUUUCUGAAAGAAUUCAUGGCCGCCCGAGGAGUAUAUCAGCAGGAACACUUUGCAGUUGUUUGAUUUCGAUAGUGCUGCCCCUCCGGAACAAGCCUGGAGGAGGAGAUGAAAUAGUGUCACAUUUAUUGACGCAAUAAGGAUGGUAAGAGAUUGUUCUCUUUCUUAUUAGUUCACUGAUUGUGGAAACAGACGUGUGCAAUAUUUAAUCUUGUGCAAAAUAGCUGUUGCACAAGAUUCCAGUUCUUUAACAAGAAUCAGAGAAAGAGAGGAAAAUUGGGAUUGGAAACAGCCACUUUUGUACUCCAGGUGCAAAAGUGUUUACAUACAGAAGGUGGCCCUCUGAAAGUCUAGUACGUAA